ACUCCUACGGGAGGCAGCAGUGGGAAUAUUGCACAAUGGGCGAAAGCCUGAUGCAGCGACGCCGCGUGGGGGAUGAAGGCCUUCGGGUUGUAAACCCCUUUUAGUCAGGGAAGAAGCGAAAGUGACGGUACCUGCAGAAAAGCGACCGGCUAACUACGUGCCAGCAGCCGCGGUAAUACGUAGGGCGCAAGCGUUGUCCGGAAUUAUUGGGCGUAAAGAGCUCGUAGGCGGUUUGUCGCGUCUGCUGUGAAAUCCCGAGGCUCAACCUCGGGCCUGCAGUGGGUACGGGCAAACUAGAGUGUGGUAGGGGAGACUGGAAUUCCUGGUGUAGCGGUGGAAUGCGCAGAUAUCAGGAGGAACACCAAUGGCGAAGGCAGGUCUCUGGGCCACUACUGACGCUGAGGAGCGAAAGCGUGGGGAGCGAACAGGAUUAGAUACCCUGGUAGGCUCUGC
rnacentral:rRNA from 1 species